rnacentral:rRNA from 1 species
AGAGUUUGAUCAUGGCUCAGAACGAACGCUGGCGGCGUGGAUAAGACAUGCAAGUCGGACGAGAUUUUUCGUUGUAGCAAUACGAUGGAAAGUCUAGUGGCGAACGGGUGCUUAACACGUGGGCAAUUUGUCUUAAAGUGGGGGAUAGCUCGGCGAAAGCCGAAUUAAUACCGCAUGUGAUUAGAGUGGACAUCCAUUCGAAAUUAAAGGUGGCGCAAGCUACCGCUUUUUGAGGAGCCCGCGGCCUAUCAGCUUGUUGGUGAGGUAACGGCUCACCAAGGCUUUGACGGGUAGCUGGUCUGAGAGGACGACCAGCCACACUGGGACUGAGACACGGCCCAGACACCUACGGGUGGCAGCAGUCGAGAAUUUUUCUCAAUGGGGGAAACCCUGAAGGAGCGACGCCGCGUGGAGGAUGAAGGUCUUCGGAUUGUAAACUCCUGUCAUUGGGGAACAAGUCGCUUACGUUAACUGCGUGAGCGUUGACAGUACCCGAAGAGGAAGAGACGGCUAACUCUGUGCCAGCGGCCGCGGUAAUACAGAGGUCUCAAGCGUUGUUCGGAUUCAUUGGGCGUAAAGGGUGCGUAGGCGGCGCGGUAAGUCGGGUGUGAAAUCUCGGAGCUUAACUCCGAAACUGCAUUCGAUACUGCCGUGCUUGAGGACUGGAGAGGAGACUGGAAUUUACGGUGUAGCGGUGAAAUGCGUAGAUAUCGUAAGGAAGACCAGUGGCGAAGGCGGGUCUCUGGACAGUUCCUGACGCUGAGGCACGAAGGUCAGGGGAGCAAACGGGAUUAGAUACCCUAGUAGUCC